UGAGCAUCCUGGGAAAUGGAAAUCCCCUGCACAAAUCAACCACACACCACACAUUACGUCACAAUAUGUAGAAUACAAAACGAACAGCAACAGUUAUUUAAAGAGCAAUUUGUCCAUCUGCAGGAUAUUAUUUUAACUAAGCAGCUCCUCGGUAUAUCGACAGAGGUACAAUUUCUACAUUUUACAAACAUUUUAAUAUUAAGGAUUUUUUGUUUAAUGGAGUUAGCCUGUCAUUGUUUAGAUUAAAUUAGUUUUUUUUUUAAGAUUACUGUUGUGUAAUUUAACUUAUAGACUUAUAUGCUAUUAGUUUUUCUCCCCAUUCUAAAGUAUAUUGAGCUUAAAGGACUUGUUUGCACUAGUUUCCCGCCCUAGUUUGAACAACGUGGAUGUAUUUUGUUGUUCGCAUGGUACAAGUUUCCGAGAUAUUGUUUGACUGCUAAGCAACUUGAAGUGAAAUAAAAAUGCCCAGGUAAAACUGUUGUGUACAUGCACAAGUUUGAUAAUUUGUAGGGAUGUCUUUCAGUUCAUUGUGAAUGUAACUAGCCUUUCUUAUCUCUCUGUUUCAAGUGUUUGCUGAGUAGUGCUUUACAAACCAGAAUCUACCAAACACACGAAGGCAGAACUUGAUCGGCACAGUCUUUGCUGAUGACUAUAUCUCGUCAGAAGGCAUUGAAGAUGGAAAAGACUUCUGGUGAACUUCUGGUCACCAUUCACUUGCAUUGUAUGGACCUACAGAGCUGAAAUAUGUUUCUAAAAAUCUUCAUUUGUGUUCAACAGAAGAAAGUCAUAAACAUCUGGGAUGGCAUGAGGGGCUGAAGAUUUUGAAGAGCCAAAUGUUGGAUAGUCACCAGUUGCCCUGUUAACAGUGGUCAGAAUACUCACAGAUGCUGCAAUUCACUACAAUCUGGUCAGAAAUGUCCUUGUUCUUGAAAGUGAAGUCAUCACCCACCUGCCCAGGCUUUCCAGAUUUCUUUUUACAUUUGGACUGAUUUAUGCAUUGGAUCUGUUACCCAAGAGUUUAAGACAAGUGGCUUUAUAAGGUUUCAACAUUGAAGGAUGUGCAACACUAAUGCAGCUGUAGACAGUUUAUCCUGUCGAGGUCAAAUGUGUUUUUUUUUUUCUUCUUCCCAGUGUUGUGCCUCAUGUUUUGUCAAUAUUUGUACGUUGUGUUUUUAUAUUAAAUAUGUUUACCACAU